UCCAGGUUAUCCCUGGCGGUCUCCUGCGAGUUCCGUCUUUCGACAUGGCAACACAGGACAAGGGUUGCGCUCGUUGCGGGACUUAACCCAACAUCUCACGACACGAGCUGACGACAGCCAUGCAGCACCUGUGUGAAAGGUCCCCUUGCGGAGAAGGAACGAUCUCUCGUUCUGUCCUUCCCAUGUCAAGCCCUGGUAAGGUUCUGCGCGUUGCGUCGAAUUAAACCACAUGCUCCACCGCUUGUGCGGGCCCCCGUCAAUUCCUUUGAGUUUCAGUCUUGCGACCGUACUCCCCAGGCGGAACACUUAACGCGUUAGCUGCGGCUCUGACCCGUUGACGGGGUCAAAACCUAGUGUUCAUCGUUUACGGCGUGGACUAC
rnacentral:misc_RNA from 1 species